AUUGAACGCUGGCGGCAGGCUUAACACAUGCAAGUCGAGCGGGGAAAUAUAGCUUGCUAUAUGACCUAGCGGCGGACGGGUGAGUAAUGCUUAGGAAUCUGCCUAUUAGUGGGGGACAACAUUUCGAAAGGGAUGCUAAUACCGCAUACGCCCUACGGGGGAAAGCAGGGGAUCAUUUGACCUUGCGCUAAUAGAUGAGCCUAAGUCGGAUUAGCUAGUUGGUGGGGUAAAGGCCUACCAAGGCGACGAUCUGUAGCGGGUCUGAGAGGAUGAUCCGCCACACUGGGACUGAGACACGGCCCAGACUCCUACGGGAGGCAGCAGUGGGGAAUAUUGGACAAUGGGGGGAACACUGAUCCAGCCAUGCCGCGUGUGUGAAGAAGGCCUUUUGGUUGUAAAGCACUUUAAGCGAGGAGGAGGCUUACCUGGUUAAUACCUGGGAUAAGUGGACGUUACUCGCAGAAUAAGCACCGGCUAACUCUGUGCCAGCCGCCGCGGUAA
rnacentral:rRNA from 1 species